rnacentral:misc_RNA from 1 species
UGCGGUGAAGAGUACCUGUAUCCAGUUCUUGUGAAUCAAGAUGAUCAUAAUCGUCAAGAAAGUGCACGCAUUAGCUGCAAUCAUUCCACCUCACCCAAUUUAUUUGGUGGAUUGUAUCAUGACGAUAUUGAUGAUGAUAUUAUUGACAUGGAAGCUGAAAUUCUCUGUGAAAGGUCUUCGCAAUUUGGAGCUUCCAACUUGAACAAUGGGCAUUACCGGCAGAUGCAAACGGUUCAAACAAUUACUGAAACUGUGCCUUCUUCAACAUUUGACCAGAAUGGAAGUGAAAAGAAUCGUAUACUACAAAUGGAUAUUUCCUC